ensembl:snRNA U6 U6 spliceosomal RNA
AUGCUUGCUUCAACAGCACAUACACUAAAACUGGAAUGACACAGAGGUUAGCAUGGCCCCAUGCAAGGAUAUCAUGCAAGUUCUGAAGUGUUCCAUAUUUUU